rnacentral:piRNA from 1 species
UCAUACAAGCAUUAGUGAGUCACCAGC